rnacentral:rRNA from 1 species
CAGUAGCCGCGGGAAUACAGAGGGUGCGAGCGUUAAUCGGAUUUACUGGGCGUAAAGCGUGCGUAGGCGGCUAAUUGAGUCGGAUGUGAAAUCCCCGAGCUUAACUUGGGAAUUGCAUUCGAUACUGGUUAGCUAGAGUGUGGGAGAGGAUGGUAGAAUUCCAGGUGUAGCGGUGAAAUGCGUAGAGAUCUGGAGGAAUACCGAUGGCGAAGGCAGCCAUCUGGCCUAACACUGACGCUGAGGUACGAAAGCAUGGGGAGCAAACAGGAUUAGAUACCCGCGUAGUCCCUGUCUCUUACAC